UACGUAGGGGGCUAGCGUUGUCCGGAUUUAUUGGGCGUAAAGAGCGUGUAGGCGGCCAUGUAGGUCCGGUGUGAAAACUCGAGGCUCAACUUCGAGCUGUCGGUGGAAACUUUCUGGCUAGAGUCCGGAAGAGGAGAAUGGAAUUCCUGGUGUAGCGGUGAAAUGCGCAGAUAUCAGGAAGAACACCCGUGGCGAAGGCGGUUCUCUGGGACGGUACUGACGCUGAGGAGCGAAAGCGUGGGUAGCAAACAGG
rnacentral:rRNA from 1 species